rnacentral:rRNA from 1 species
CCUACGGGGCGCAGCAGUGAGGAAUAUUGGUCAAUGGGCGCGAGCCUGAACCAGCCAAGUAGCGUGAAGGAUGACUGCCCUACGGGUUGUAAACUUCUUUUAUAAAGGAAUAAAGUGAGGCACGUGUGCCUUUUUGUAUGUACUUUAUGAAUAAGGAUCGGCUAACUCCGUGCCAGCAGCCGCGGUAAUACGGAGGAUCCGAGCGUUAUCCGGAUUUAUUGGGUUUAAAGGGAGCGUAGAUGGGUUGUUAAGUUAGUUGUGAAAGUUUGCGGCUCAACCGUAAAAUUGCCAUUAAUACUGGUAGUCUUGAGUAUAGUUGAGGUAGGCGGAAUGUGUGGUGUAGCGGUGAAAUGCUUAGAGAUCACGAAGAACACCGAUUGCGAAGGCAGCUUACUAAACUGUCACUGACAUUGAGGCACGAAAGUGUGGGUAUCAAACAGGAUUAGAUACCCGAGUAGUC